rnacentral:rRNA from 1 species
GACGAACGCUGGCGGCGUGCUUAACACAUGCAAGUCGAACGGAAAGGCCUGCCUUCCCUUGUGGAUUGCGGGUACUCGAGUGGCGAACGGGUGAGUAACACGUGAGUGAUCUGCCCCCAACUUGGGUAUAAGCCUGGGAAACUGGGUCUAAUUCCCGAUAGGACUGCAGGGUGGUGCCUGUGGUGGAAAACGAUUUUCUAGUGGUUGGGGAUGAGCUCGCGGCCUAUCAGCUUGUUGGUGGGGUAAUGGCCUACCAAGGCGGCGACGGGUAGCCGGCCUGAGAGGGUGGACGGCCACAUUGGGACUGAGAUACGGCCCCGACUCCUACGGGAGGCAGCAGUGGGGAAUAUUGCACAAUGGGCGGAAGCCUGAUGCAGCGACGCCGCGUGGGGGAUGCCGGCCUUCGGGUUGUAAACUCCUUUCGACCGCGAGGAAGCCACCUGGUUGGAAGGGUGGUGACGGUAGUGGUAGAAGAAGCACCGGCUAACUACGUG